GUUCUUUGUGUGAUGUGGAUGUGGUAUUGACGUUAGCUUUUAUAUUCAUAGUAAACAUCUGUUGGUUCAUGCAUGUAUAAAGCCUCGCUGUCUAACUUUGAUAUUUCUUGAUUGGCCUGACUUCGCUGCUUCUCUAUACCGAUUGACGAUGAAGGAUGUGUCGGUGGUGGUGGUAGUGGUGCUGUUGGUGACAUCAGUGGCGUGGUCUGCAUCUUUGUCUAAUAGCGUUGAAGAGCAAUGUUCACCAGCAUGUGAUGAAGGAGAGGAAUGCGUCAGGGGAGAGUGUCAAGCAGGUGGGAGAACUUGUUGCAACAAUGGCGGUGCCCCUCCGGGAAGGCGCUAAUCGACAUCCCUUACAAGACAAGCAAGACAAGCAAUACAAGCAGCAGUAACGACAGCAGCAACGACAGCAGCAAUGACAGCAGCAACGGAAGCAGCAACGGCAGCAAAAACAACACAAUCUUGUGAAGAGCUUGUCGUGCGUCUGCCCUGCUGAUAUCUGUGUCAGCAAUAAAUGGGUUCAACAUA